CCUCUAUCAACUGAGCCAGCCAGGUGCCCCUCUCAUCUCCACUUGACUGUCCAGUUUGGCACCCACCAACCACGUGAUGGUCAUAGAGCUCUUGAAAUUAUAGAUAUACCGAACUGGGAUAUGCUGGGUUUGUGGCAGAUAGAAGAAUGGCCCUCCAAAGAUGUUCAAGUUUUAAUCCCCAAAACCUGGGACACCCCAGAUGGCAACAGCGGCCAUAUUCUCCUCUAUCCCUACUGGAGCGAGUGCCCACUGGGAUCAAAGUGGGAUUUGGGUACUGCUGGAGUGUUAACGAGAUGACACGUCUCCCAGUUUUCUGCUGCAUUCUGUUUUGCCCGAUUGUGAAGGAGCCUUCCAGGAAAAGAACUCUAGCCAUAUCCACGCUGUGUAUGUAGAGGCCUGGAACACAGAUGUGGCCACGAGAGCCGGCCCCAAACAUGCCAACAAUGAGUUGGUGGCACACUAGGAUGAAAGGAACCUGGGUCCUGGGUUGAACCAGUGAAGCAGAGCUACUUCCCCAUCCCGGACAUCCUCCUUACUGGACUACUGAGUGACAGAGAAAUUUCUUGUCGAGUCACUGUCUUCUGGGGUCUUUUGGUUAUUGAGCAUAGCCUGUUCCCUAACAUGAGAGGAAAGGAAAGACAGUGUUAGGAUUUCUAAUAGAAUUCCCGACUUGGUCAGAAAAGGCUAAGGAGCUAGGAAAGGCCGACGGAACAACUGUCUGUCUUAAUGAUUACAGCUGCAUGAGGCUGGAGCUGGCAGAUAACAAGAUAAGCAAUUAUGCAGCCUUGUCUCCAGACAGAUAGGGCAAGCCCCUUGAGAACUAUAAACUCCUACCCGGUUCUGGGAGCCUAGUUCAUCCAGAGCAGGACAGCAGCUGGCAAUCCCCUCCUGGACGUCUUCUUUGUACCCUGCCUUGCAGACCUGUGUCCGCUGUACUCUUCAAAAGCUGGCUCCAACAAGCUCCACACGAAGAGUUCAUGAAAAAACCCAUUUAGUCGUUUUGUGUUAAUUAGGUUUACAAAAGAAAAAUAUUAUUUAUAAUCGCCUUCUAUUUCCUGAAGAGGGAAGGUCCUGUAACUGGAAGAACUUGCUGUUUGGCUGAACAUGGUCAUUCAUUGGGCACAGGUUUGGAUGUAGAAACUAGGAUGAAAUGCAUUCCUCUGAAUAAUGAAGGGUUGAGGAGUCUACAUAGGGCUGGUGGGGGGAAAGGUGAAGAGCAGGAAAGCUGGAGGCUGGGAGGUAGGAUGGGGUAGGGGAUGGGAAGAGAUCCCUGUGGCAGAAGCGGAGAGUGUGUACUCUGGAGAAAGAGGUGUGUCGUAGCGGGGUUCCAGCUGCUACAGCCCACGUGACAUAAAUCACGUCUCCCCUUCAGCAAAUUCUAUCUCGUUCACUAAGAUGCUGGUAGGAGAGGGCAUAAGGGGUGUGAGCUUGAAUAAGAGGAGGAGGGGAAAACUGACACCUGGAUUACAUACAGCACAGAGAGAAGAAACAAGAGCACAGAAAGUCAGAGUCAAUGCCAAUGAUGAACAGUUAUAGAAUUGCAGACCCCUUCUGUUAGUUAUUAUUUCUAUAAUUCGAAAUUAUGUGUACUGGACUGUCUUAAUCUGAGUUACUAUUCACCCAGUAGCUACCCAAUGCCCAUUACUGGAAUAAUCAUCACUAGCACAUACUCAUCACUUAUGAAAAUUCAGAAACAGUGUUCUAGCUGAGGGUAGGCUGAAUUUAAGGAAGGCACCAGACAGGAACUGUAUUUGAGCUGGGCCUUGAAGAAUGGACAGGAAUUGGUUAUGCAAAGUCUUCUCAGAGGAAGGGAACAGCACGGAUAAUCUGACCAAAGCCAAAGUCAUGCAUUUUUUCCACAUAUACUUAGUAACGUGCACUGUGUGCCAGGCACUAAGCAAGGUCCCAGGGAGGUGAAGAUGAAUUUGGCUUCACAGGCUUCUGUUAAUAUAUCCUGCUGUUUUUCUAUUCAUUCUGUUAUUGGUUUGCCACAUCUAUCAGGUCUUUUUUGGCCACAUUUCUGCCCAGCCAGUUUUUCUUUCUUGAAUUUUGUGUGUGUGUGUGUGUGUGUGUGUGUGUGUGAGACAGAGAGAGAGAGAGAUGCUUCUUUUGCUACCUAAUGCAUUUUAACCUGCCAUUGAUGACCAUUUCUCUAAUUUAUUGAGGUCAAUUGAAUUUUGAUCUUCUAUAUACUUGGCACAUCCAUCUGCUUAGGGUCAUAUGUAAUAUUUAUGAAGACUAUCACUUUCUUUCCACUGUCUACACCCACAUCUCAAUACCCAUUUGUGCCAGUCUAUACUGAAGGUUAAAAGUAAGAUGAGAAAUAUAGCCCCAGAAUCCCAGGUUACAAAACCUAGUACGCUUGACCCUUGAGCAACACAGAUUUGAACUGUGUGUGUCUACUUAUACAUGGAUUUGUUUCAAUAAAUAUAGUACAGUCCUG